rnacentral:rRNA from 1 species
ACUCAAAGGAAUUGACGGGGGCCCGCACAAGCAGUGGAGUAUGUGGUUUAAUUCGAAGCAACGCGAAGAACCUUACCAGGGCUUGACAUAUACCUGACAGAUAUGGAAACAUAUCCUCCCUUCGGGGCAGGUAUACAGGUGGUGCAUGGUUGUCGUCAGCUCGUGUCGUGAGAUGUUGGGUUAAGUCCCGCAACGAGCGCAACCCCUAUUGUUAGUUGCCAGCAUUUUGGAUGGGCACUCUAGCAAGACUGCCGGUGAUAAAUCGGAGGAAGGUGGGGACGACGUCAAAUCAUCAUGCCCUUUAUGUCCUGGGCUACACACGUACUACAAUGGAUGUAACAAAGAGCAGCAAAGCAGUGAUGCAGAGCGAAACUCAAAAAGCAUCCUCAGUUCGGAUUGAAGGCUGAAAUUCGCCUUCAUGAAGUCGGAAUUGCUAGUAAUGGCAGGUCAGCAUACUGCCGUGAAUACGUUCCCGGGCCUUGUACACACCGCCCGU